rnacentral:rRNA from 1 species
AGUGAACGCUGGCGGUAGGCCUAACACAUGCAAGUCGAACGGCAGCACAGUAAGAGCUUGCUCUUACGGGUGGCGAGUGGCGGACGGGUGAGGAAUACAUCGGAAUCUACUUUUUCGUGGGGGAUAACGUAGGGAAACUUACGCUAAUACCGCAUACGACCUACGGGUGAAAGCAGGGGAUCUUCGGACCUUGCGCGAUUGAAUGAGCCGAUGUCGGAUUAGCUAGUUGGCGGGGUAAAGGCCCACCAAGGCGACGAUCCGUAGCUGGUCUGAGAGGAUGAUCAGCCACACUGGAACUGAGACACGGUCCAGACUCCUAGGGGAGGCAGCAGUGGGGCAUAUUGGACAAUGGGCGCAAGCCUGAUCCAGCCAUACCGCGUGGGUGAAGAAGGCCUUCGGGUUGUAAAGCCCUUUUGUUGGGAAAGAAAAGCAGCAGGUUAAUACCCCGCUGUUCUGACGGUACCCAAAGAAUAAGCACCGGCUAACUUCGU